GACGAACGCUGGCGGCGUGCUUAACACAUGCAAGUCGAACGGAAAGGCCUCUUUCGGGGGGUACUCGAGUGGCGAACGGGUGAGUAACACGUGAGUAACCUGCCCUUGACUUUGGGAUAACUUCAGGAAACUGGGGCUAAUACCGGACAGGAGCUCCUGCUGCAUGGUGGGGGUUGGAAAGUUUCGGCGGUUGGGGAUGGACUCGCGGCUUAUCAGCUUGUUGGUGGGGUAGUGGCUUACCAAGGCUUUGACGGGUAGCCGGCCUGAGAGGGUGACCGGCCAUAUUGGGACUGAGAUACGGCCCAGACUCCUACGGGAGGCAGAAGUGGGGAAGAUUGCUCAAUGGGUGGGAGCCUGAUGCAGCAACGCCGUGUGCGGGAUGACGGCCUUCGGGUUGUGAACCGCUUUCGCUCAUGACGAAGCUUUGUGUGACGGUAGUGGGUAAAGAAGCACCGGCUAACUACGUG
rnacentral:rRNA from 1 species